rnacentral:rRNA from 1 species
CAGGGAAUCUUGCACAAUGGGCGAAAGCCUGAUGCAGCGACGCCGCGUGGGGGAUGAAGGCCCUAGGGUCGUAAACCCCUUUCAGCAGGGACGAAGAUGACGGUACCUGCAGAAGAAGCCCCGGCCAACUACGUGCCAGCAGCCGCGGUAAGACGUAGGGGGCGAGCGUUGUCCGGAUUUAUUGGGCGUAAAGAGCUCGUAGGCGGCAUGACAAGUCACUUGUGAAAUCUCUGGGCUUAACCCAGAACGGCCAAGUGAUACUGUCGUGCUAGAGUGCAGAAGGGGCAAUCGGAAUUCUUGGUGUAGCGGUGAAAUGCGUAGAUAUCAAGAGGAACACCUGAGGUGAAGACGGGUUGCUGGGCUGACACUGACGCUGAGGCGCGAAAGCCAGGGGAGCAAACGGGAUUAGAUACCCCAGUAGUCCCUGAGCGGGCUGGCAAGGCGCAU